GACGAACGCUGGCGGCGUGCUUAACACAUGCAAGUCGAACGAAGAGCGACGGAAGCUUGCUUCUAUCAAUCUUAGUGGCGCACGGGUGAGUAACGCGUAAUCAACCUGCCCUUCAGAGGGGGACAACAGUUGGAAACGACUGCUAAUACCGCAUACGAUCUAACCUCGGCAUCGAGGAUAGAUGAAAGGUGGCCUCUACAUGUAAGCUAUCACUGAAGGAGGGGAUUGCGUCUGAUUAGCUAGUUGGAGGGGUAACGGCCCACCAAGGCGAUGAUCAGUAGCCGGUCUGAGAGGAUGAACGGCCACAUUGGGACUGAGACACGGCCCAGACUCCUACGGGAGGCAGCAGUGGGGAAUCUUCCGCAAUGGACGAAAGUCUGACGGAGCAACGCCGCGUGAGUGAUGACGGCCUUCGGGUUGUAAGGCUCUGUUAAUCGGGACGAAAGGCCUUCUUGCGAAUAGUGAGAAGGAUUGACGGUACCGGAAUAGAAAGCCACGGCUAACUACGU
rnacentral:rRNA from 1 species